rnacentral:lncRNA from 1 species
AUGGUUGUUUUGACUGAGAAAUUCCACUCUCAGAAAAAUGCCCUGCAAGGGAGUCGGCUGCACAGAAUGGAACUGACUGGCCCGAGCUUACCUCUCCCCUCAAAGGCCACCUACACCUUUGCACCUUUGUCUUCUAGUCCUCUUCAACCCAGCUCUCCCCAUGUCCAUGCAAAGAGCCUUGGGACGAGGAGACACAGAGGACCACCAGCACGACGCAGUGGCAGGUGUUGGCAGCUGUGGACGACUGUAUUUACUGACAGCACAUCUGGACUAACAUUUACCACCCUUCAGAUGUUUCAAGUCAAAAGGGGAAGGCAUACACCAGCAAGAGGACAAAGACCGGGUCACUCAGCACGUGCAGGAGGCAGUGAGAACACAGCCCGCUGGAGAGAGGAUGCCGAAACCUAGAAAAUCUGGAAGGUGAAAACUCAAGAUAACAGACAAAACCUACCUCACUACUGUGGUUAGCGUUUAGGUGAAUUUAUUUCUAGACUUUUUAGAAAUAUUUUUUUUCCUUUGGCAGAGCUGUAAUCGGUUUCCAUAAAAUUCUGUGGCCUACUUUUUUCACUUAGCAUUCUGAGCACUGUUCCCUGGUGCGACAGUCUUCAUAGCAGCCAUUUGUAGUGAAUGCAUAAUACCCAGAGAGGCUGCGUCCUCACUUACUUACCCAUUUCUCCAUCUUUUCCCAUAACACUGUAAUGAGCACUGCAACAACUUGUUGCAUAAGAAGUAGAAAGAAACUGGGUCUUGGGGAGACCCCAGCGGCUUGAUGAAGGCUUGCCUGGGGCUGACUUCUCUGAACCUUUCCAUUCCGUGAGCCAGGAACACUAUGCCCUAUUGCUUAAGCCCAUGGGAGUUACAUUUUCUCUGACUUGCCGUCAUGUCACCCACCUAACGCAAGAUCUCCAAGGGCAGCACUGUUUGUCCUGCUCACCGCUGUAGUCCCACUUGAAUCCUCAGUCAAGGCACGGUGGCCUGCACAAAGUGUAGGAACUAAAUAAAUAUGCAGAAAUAAAAUAAUAGGACCUCUCU